AAGCUGUCCUCAUCCUUCUCUUCCUGGGCUUUAUCAGGGCCCGCCCUGUCACCUCAUCCUUCUAAGCUCUUCAACUGGUUUCCACUUGCUGGGUGACUCCACCAGCUCCAAGUAAGAAGCAGCUCCAGCUCCUGUACCUUCUGGUAAGACUGAUGCCCACUAGGCAUUGUGAGCCCAGGCCCAGA